UGAGUAACACGUAUCCAACCUGCCGUCUACUCUUGGCCAGCCUUCUGAAAGGAAGAUUAAUCCAGGAUGGCAUCAUGAGUUCACAUGUCCGCAUGAUUAAAGGUAUUUUCCGGUAGACGAUGGGGAUGCGUUCCAUUAGAUAGUAGGCGGGGUAACGGCCCACCUAGUCUACGAUGGAUAGGGGUUCUGAGAGGAAGGUCCCCCACAUUGGAACUGAGACACGGUCCAA
rnacentral:rRNA from 1 species